CAGGGAAUCUUGCGCAAUGGGCGAAAGCCUGACGCAGCGACACCGCGUGGGGGAUGAAGGCUUUCGAGUUGUAAACCCCUUUUCCCGGGGAUGAGAAAGGACAGUACCCGGGGAAUAAGGUUCGGCUAACUACGUGCCAGCAGCCGCGGUAAUACGUAGGAACCGAGCGUUGUCCGGAUUUACUGGGCGUAAAGUGCGCGUAGGCGGUCCGUUAAGUCUCAUGUGAAAUCUCCCGGCUCAACUGGGAGGGGUCAUGGGAUACUGGCAGACUUGAGUGCAGCAGAGGGGAGUGGAAUUCCCGGAGUAGUGGUGGAAUGCGUAGAUACCGGGAGGAACACCAGAGGCGAAGGCGACUCCCUGGGCUGUGUCUGACGCUGAGGCGCGAAAGCGUGGGUAGCAAACCGGAUUAGAUACCCCCGUAGUCC
rnacentral:rRNA from 1 species